rnacentral:rRNA from 1 species
UACGUAGGGUGCGAGCGUUGUCCGGAAUUAUUGGGCGUAAAGGGCUCGUAGGCGGUCUGUCACGUCGGGAGUGAAAACUCGGGGCUUAACUCCGAGCCUGCUUCUGAUACGGGCAGACUAGAGGUAUGCAGGGGAGAAUGGAAUUCCUGGUGUAGCGGUGAAAUGCGCAGAUAUCAGGAGGAACACCGGUGGCGAAGGCGGUUCUCUGGGCAUGACCUGACGCUGAGGAGCGAAAGUGUGGGGGAGCGAACAGG